rnacentral:rRNA from 1 species
UGCCUACUGACCAACCCAUAUUAGGUUCAUCCUGCCCAGUGAUUUUACAUUCAACGGCCGCGGUAUCCUGACCGUGCAAAGGUAGCAUAAUCAUUUGCCCCUUAAUUAGGGGCUUGCAUGAAAGGACAAACGAAAGCUUUACUGUCUCUAUUAUAACAAUAUAAUCUAACCUUUAGGUGAAGAGGCCUAUAUAAAUAUAAAAGACAAGAAGACCCCGUCGAGCUUUAUCUAACAAAGAAAAUUCCAUAUUCUCAACCUAAAAUAUAGAUUUUGUUGGGGCGACAAAGGAACAAACUCAAAUUCCUCUUUAUCAAAGAGAUCUCCUCCCUCAACAGACCCAAAACCUUGAUCACAGAAUCUAGCUACCGCGGGGAUAACAGACUAAUUUUCCUUAAGAGUCCAAAUCCACAGGAAAGAUUGGCACCUCGAUGUUGGCUUAGGAUAUCUUUUAAAUGCAUCCGUUUAAAAAGAUGGUUUGUUCAACCAUUAAACU